GCAUCUAGACAUUGUGCCGGGUGGGAGAAGAGACAAUUAAAUCCACAAUCCAGAAAAAAAAAAUAACUGACUCACGGAUUAAACACUAUAGGUUUGUACUCCUUUCCAGUCUCGAUGUGGAGUGCGGAUUGUGCGUGCAAGUCUGAAAGUUAUCUAGGAUGUGAGCUCUUGUGGAGGAUGAGCUAAGGGAUUCUUCGAGGUUUGGAGAGCGCAGCUGCUGCCUUCAGCCACUGACGGAAGGACCUUGCGCACGAGGAGGAGAGCUGCCUCCGUUUCGCUCUCUCUUUCUCUCUUUUUCCUUUCUCAGUCUCACAGAGACAGGCAGCAUCCCUCAGCCCUGGUAUUGAAAACAGAAGACGUUCAAGGCGAGAAAAAAGAAUAACGGCGAAGAAAAGAACAGGAUUAUAAAAGCAGGGCGUAAUCAAGGGAAAUCUGAAGCAAGGGCAAAAAGAGUUGAAAAUAGAUUUGCAUCUCAGGCUCUUGUGUUUGUUGUUUUGCGGGGCUAAACUGAAGAGAUUUGGGUCGUGCAUUGCUUUGCUUCAGCCAGCCUGUGGAGUAUAGGAUCACAAAUAGCAUUUUAAGGUCAUGGACAUUGCCUCUUCUCCUGCCUCUAGGCUGACCAUGACAAACUGUUCUGUUUUUAUGUGAUCCUGCUGUGAAUUCUGCUGUUGCAGCGGUCUUCUUCGAGCAAAAAUUCAUCCCACACAUUGGCAUCUGUAUUCAGA